rnacentral:rRNA from 1 species
UUUAUUGAGAGUUUGAUCCUGGCUCAGGACGAACGCUGGCGGCGUGCUUAACACAUGCAAGUCGAACGAGAAUCUGCUGAAGGAGGAUUCGUCCAACGGAAGCAGAGGAAAGUGGCGGACGGGUGAGUAACGCGUGAGGAACCUGCCUUGAAGAGGGGGACAACAGUUGGAAACGACUGCUAAUACCGCAUGACGCAUAGAGGUCGCAUGAUCUUUAUGCCAAAGAUUUAUCGCUUCAAGAUGGCCUCGCGUCUGAUUAGCUGGUUGGCGGGGUAACGGCCCACCAAGGCGACGAUCAGUAGCCGGACUGAGAGGUUGAACGGCCACAUUGGGACUGAGAUACGGCCCAGACUCCUACGGGAGGCAGCAG